rnacentral:piRNA from 1 species
UGCAAACCUGUGCGGGCUUGCCGGUGGC